rnacentral:rRNA from 1 species
UACGUAGGGGGCAAGCGUUAUCCGGAUUUACUGGGUGUAAAGGGAGCGCAGACGGAACUGCAAGUCUGAUGUGAAAGCCCGGGGCUCAACCGCGGGACUGCAUUGGAAACUGUAGAUCUGGAGUGCCGUAGGGGCAAGCGGAAUUCCUGGUGUAGCGGUGAAAUGCGUAGAUAUCAGGAGGAACACCGGCGGCGAAGGCGGCUUGCUGGACGGCAACUGACGUUGAGGCUCGAAAGCGUGGGGAGCAAACAGGAUUAGAUACCCUGGUA